GCCAGCCAUAAUCACUUCAGAGCUUUGAGUUUGAAACGCCAAAACCAAAGCGAUAUCAAAACAAGAAAGGCUUUCUUUGUUCUUGGCUUAUGUUGCUUUUGGGUUCUUCAACAGCCGCAACAUAGGAGGCUUCUUGACUCACAUCAUUUGAGAGGGCCAUCUUACUACCCAUUGAGGUGCU